rnacentral:rRNA from 1 species
CGAUAACCGCUGAAAGCAUCUAAGCGGGAAGCGAGCCUCAAGAUGAGUCAUCCCUAGACCUUUAAGGUCUCUAAAGGGUUGUUGAAGACUACAACGUUGAUAGGUCAGGUGUGUAAGUGCUGCGAGGCAUUGAGCUAACUGAUACUAAUUGCCCGUGAGGCUUAACCAUACAACACCCAAGGGGUUU